rnacentral:tRNA from 1 species
GCGAGUGUAAUUUAAUGGUAGAAUGCCAGCUUCCCAAGCUGAAUACGGGAGUUCGAUUCUCCUCACUCGCUCCA